CCUACGGGAGGCAGCAGUGAGGAAUAUUGGUCAAUGGACGAGAGUCUGAACCAGCCAAGUAGCGUGAAGGAUGACUGCCCUAUGGGUUGUAAACUUCUUUUAUAUGGGAAUAAAACAGGGUAUGCAUACCCUCUUUUAUGUACCAUAUGAAUAAGGAUCGGCUAACUCCGUGCCAGCAGCCGCGGUAAUACGGAGGAUCCGAGCGUUAUCCGGAUUUAUUGGGUUUAAAGGGAGCGUAGGUGGAUUGUUAAGUCAGUUGUGAAAGUUUGCGGCUCAACCGUAAAAUUGCAGUUGAAACUGGCAGUCUUGAGUACAGUAGAGGUGGGCGGAAUUCGUGGUGUAGCGGUGAAAUGCUUAGAUAUCACGAAGAACUCCGAUUGCGAAGGCAGCUCACUGGACUGCAACUGACACUGAUGCUCGAAAGUGUGGGUAUCAAACAGGAUUAGAUACCCUUGUAGUC
rnacentral:rRNA from 1 species